rfam:Ovis aries breed Texel chromosome 7, whole genome shotgun sequence.
GGUACCAUGGCUGAGUGGUCUAAGGUGCUGGAUUAAGGCUCCAGUCUCUUUGGGUGCAUGGAUUCGAAUCACACUGCUGCCA